rnacentral:sRNA from 1 species
UCUGGCAGCGUGAGGACAGGACACAUGGAGAGAGACCCUUUAAACCUCCUUCCAAGGAAGUCAGUUCUCCCUGGUCCAGAGAUUGCAAAGUGUAAUUAUUUUUCAGGAGAAAAAUACUAUUUGUAAGCAUCAUUCCUACCUGUAUCCCAAAAGACUGAGUUCACUGAUUUAUUGAGCUUUUAACAAAUAUACUGUGCCUUUAUUCUUUCCUAAAUGUAUAUUUUACAAUUUAGGUCUGCGUUUCUUAGUUCGUCUCUGCACAGAUCUUGGAUUAAAAGAUGCUCAAGAAUAUGCCAGAAAACUGAAGAGGUUGGAAAAAAUGAAAGAAAUAAGGGAACAGCGCAUAAAGUCAGGCAGAGAUGGCAGUGGGGGCUCCCGUGGCAAAAGAGAAGGAAGUGCUAGCGGUG